rnacentral:lncRNA from 1 species
CCUGGGAAACUUAACUCAGCCAAAUAAUGCAAACAAUUGCAUCCAUCAUCAGCCACAUCAGCCUUAGGAGAUACAUCCAUAUCAUGAGAAAACACUACCUGAAAUUGGGGACCACUGGAGGAUUAAAGAACAAGGAGAUGGCUGGCUAUUUAAGAAGGAAAGGCAGAGGCUGCAGAAAUUGAGCCUAACGGCUUAUCAGAUGGGAUGGAUAAUUCUUUAAGUUUAAAAGAACUACUCAUUUUCCCCAACAUCUGUCUUUGCCAUCUUCCUAUCUAAGGAACCUUUCACUUUUUAGCUGGGGACAUAGCUUUCUGGUAUGAGAACUACACUGCUCAAACUUCCAAUCAGCUUGUAUGCACUUGGUGAAUCUUACCUACCACAAACAGAAGUCUGGAAAGUGAAAAUUUAUUUCCUUUUCACCAUGACCAGCCUUGUUCAGAACAUCUGAGAGGCACAGACCUGAGAAAGAAUCCCCAGGCUGAAGAGGUAGAAGUUGGCAGAAGUUAAAAGCAAUGUCUCCACAAUGGAGAAGUGACAUGCUAAAGGAACCUGGCAUCUAGACAUUUCCUAACCCCCAAUCCCUCCUUACAUAUGACCUGCUCUUAGAGGAGUACAGCGUGGUGGUUAGGAGUGUGGACUCGGCAGCCAGAAAUCCUGGGAUCUGUUGCUUGUUAGCUGUGGGCCUUAAGCUAAGAACUUAACCUCUCUGUGCCUCAGUUGCUCCAUCUGUUCAAAUGAAGAUAAUGAUAAUGAAGAUGAUAUCACCUGCUGUGUAGGAUUGUUAUGAAAAAUCAAGAAUUAAUAUUUGUAAAUCACUUACAGGGUCUGGCACAUAAUAAGUGCUGUGUGGGUGUUUGUUAAAUAAAAUAAUAUACAA